rnacentral:rRNA from 1 species
UUCCAGACUCCUACGGGAGGCAGCAGUGGGGAAUCUUGCGCAAUGGGCGGAAGCCUGACGCAGCGACGCCGCGUGCGGGACGAAGGCCUUCGGGUCGUAAACCGCUUUCAGCAGGGACGAGGCCCUCACGGUGACGGUACCUGCAGAAGAAGCCCCGGCUAACUACGUGCCAGCAGCCGCGGUAAUACGUAGGGGGCGAGCGUUAAUCGGAAUUACUGGGCGUAAAGCGCUCGUAGGCGGUAUGUCAAGUCAAGGGUGAAAUCCCCGCGCUCAACGUGGGAACUGCCUUUGAAACUGGCAAACUGGAGUGUGUGAGAGGAUAGUGGAAUUCCAGGUGUAGGAGUGAAAUCCGUAGAUAUCUGGAGGAACAUCAGUGGCGAAGGCGACUAUCUGGCACAUAACUGACGCUGAGGAGCGAAAGCGUGGGUAGCAAACAGGAUUAGAUACCCUUGUA